rnacentral:rRNA from 1 species
GACAGAGGGUGCAAACGUUGCUCGGAAUCACUGGGCGUAAAGGGCGUGUAGGCGGGAAGGAAAGUCAGAUGUGAAAUCCCUGGGCUCAACCCAGGAACUGCAUUUGAAACUCCCUUUCUUGAGUGUCGGAGAGGAAAGUGGAAUUCCUGGUGUAGCGGUGAAAUGCGCAGAUAUCAGGAAGAACACCAAUGGCGAAAGCAGCUUUCUGGGACGGUACUGACGCUGAGACGCGAAAGCGUGGGGAGCGAACAGG